UCCUUUGGUGCCAGACGCACGCGACGGAAUUUCCUGCAGCCGGGCGUGUUUCGCACCGAUGAUGUUCAGCACCUGUCGUCCCACGGCUGAUCGCGUCACUUCUGUUCCUGCCUUUCUGCUAUUUGUGUCCUGCUGAAUGAAGAUGCCUGAAAUCCAUGCCUUGCGAGAACGUCCAUUGCACUCCGCAUCCUUUGGUGCCAGACGCACGCGACGGAAUUUCCUGCAGCCGGGCGUGUUUCGCACAGAUGAUGUUCAGCACCUGUCGUCCCACGGCUGAUCGCGUCACAUCUGUUCCUGCCUCACUGCUAUUGGUGUCCUGCUGAAUGAAGAUGCCUGAAAUCCAUGCCGCGCGAGAACGUCCAUUGCACUCCGCAUCCUUUGGUGCCAGACGCACGCGACGGAAUUUCCUGCAGCCGGCCGUGUCUCGCACCGAUGAUGUUCAGCACCUGUCGUCCCACGGCUGAUCGCGUCACUUCUGUUCCUGCCUUUCUGCUAUUGGUGUCCUGCUGAAUAAAGAUGCCUGCAAUCCAUGCCCUGCAGAACGUCCAUUACACUCUGCAACCAUUGUCUUGACAUCUGCCGCCCAUCAAGGUCUGUCCCACCAGCGUAGUAGUCAAUGACACCA
rnacentral:lncRNA from 1 species